GACGAACGCUGGCGGCGUGCUUAAUACAUGCAAGUCGAGCGAGGAUUGCAGCAAUGUAAUCUUAGCGGCGGACGGGUGAGUAACGCGUGGGCAACCUGCCCUCUAGCCUGGGAUAACAGUUCGAAAGGACUGCUAACACCGGAUAGGCUCACGACUCAGCAUCGAGACGUGAGAAAAGUUUACACUAGAGGAUGGGCCCGCGUCCCAUUAGCUUGUUGAUGAGGUAACGGCCCACCAAGGCGACGAUGGGUAGCCGACCUGAGAGGGUGAUCGGCCACACUGGGACUGAGACACGGCCCAGACUCCUACGGGAGGCAGCAGUAGGGAAUUUUCCGCAAUGGGCGAAAGCCUGACGGAGCAACGCCGCGUGAGGGAUGAAGGUUUUCGGAUCGUAAACCUCUGUCUUCAGGGACGAUAAUGACGGUACCUGAGGAGGAAGCCACGGCUAACUACGUGCCAGCCGCCGCCGUAAAAC
rnacentral:rRNA from 1 species